GGAAUAAGCAGAUGAGGAGAUUGUUUAUGUUGAUUUCACUAAAUGUAGCUUAUUCUACCGCCGAGUUGUGUAUUGGCCUUUUAUCUGGCCGAGUAGGGUUGGUAUCAGACGCAUUUCAUUUGACCUUUGGUUGUGGCCUUUUGACAUUUUCCUUAUUUGCAAUGGAUGCUUCUAGAGAAAAGCCUGAUCGUGUUUACACUUAUGGGUAUAGAAGGUUAGAGGUUUUGUCUGCAUUCACCAAUGCUCUGUUUCUAUUGUUCAUGUCAUUCUCCUUGGCUGUGGAAGCACUUCAUGCCUUUAUACAAGAUGAA
rnacentral:misc_RNA from 1 species